GUGUUGAGGGUUGUACGACGGCAUUGCGGAGCCGCGGACCCUGGCGCUGGGACCUCGGUACUGUGAGGUCUUCGGUCCACUACCCAAGCGAGGCGACUCAAAGUGAGUGGCCGCCCCCGGGGAAGCUGCGGAAGCCUGCCCCGGAGCCCGGCCGCAGACACCCGCGGGGCCCUCCGGUGCCGAGGCUGGGGAGACGCGGCUUCCGAGGAUUCUUAAGCCUUUGAGAAGGGAUCUUGUUCAUUGGGGAGCGGGCUCUUCUCUAUGACGCUUUGCUGAGGACUUGAUGGGAUAAGUGGCAGGUGACUUUGGGAAAUAAAUGACUGCAGAGUCCUGGUGUUGACCAGAUGAGAGAGGACCUGUUCAAGGGACAGUCUAGAGGAUUGCAGGAGGUCUGUUUACAAUAGCUAAGAAUUGGGAUCAACCAAGAUGCCCACCAACAGAUGAAUGGAAAAUGAAAAUGUGCAUAUACACAGUGCAAAUCAAUUCAGGAGGACAGAAAUAUGAAAUUAUGAAGUUUGCAGGAAGUAGAUGGAUUUGGAAAGAAUCAUUUUUAAGUUAAGUGACUAAGACUCAGGAAUACCAAAACUUGAUGCAUGUGGGUCUUAGCUUGUAAUGUCCAUAAGUGUGAGUAUCUAUAAGGAGACAAAUGUGAAUAAAACCUAUAAACAUAGAACCACAACCAAAAGAGAAUCUAACAAGACAGGCUUCUGUCAGAGCACUUGAUUACCUACCUGCCUGAGGAAAAAGGUAAGACCCUAGUGCUGAAGACAUCACAUGUCGCCAGCACAGAACAGCGAGAGAUCUGGCUGGGAUCUGGAAGGAAGCCAGAUCCCAGAUGGUUAGCCCAUAUUGUGGUGGAAAGCACUACAUGUGCUGCUGGGGGAAGUGGCCAACAAUGUUGUGAGCAAGCUGGGGACAUUUCUAUACAGAAGCUACCAGUCUAUCAAGAUGCACACACACACCUGUGCUAUUGUGUCACCCAGCCUAAGUGGGUAACCCAGUGGUGCUGUGGUUGGCUAAGAGAGCCAUUCAGUGGAAAGGAACCCAUAGGUGGUACUGGGAACCAAGUCAGAAUCCUAUGGAGACUAGGAUCAUGGACUCCAAUGAGAAACUCCCACUAGUCUUUGGCCAAAAGUGAGGCUAUGCCCAUCAAAAUCUCUCCUAAUUAACUCUGCUUAUCCACUUUAACCUAUGCUGAUCUCACUGUCCACUGAAGAAUCUGUUUUUCUUUAAAAGAAGGCCACAAAAACCAAGCACAAACAAUCUAUCAAGAAGACAAUAAAAGAUAGCUGUCUUCCCAUCAUGAGAUGAGCCACCCCUCAAAUAUCAGCUGGGGGACCUGGUGAACCCACAGAGGUAUCAGGUUAAUGAGCAAGAGUGCUGCUUCCAUAGUGAGCUUGACAACCCGCUCCAGGGUGAUGUGACAGACACUGAGGACACUUAAAACGCACCAAAGCAGAAACCAGAAGUUGCUGAGAGCUCAACACUAAAGUAGACUUAAAACAACCACCUCGGCUCAGGGAAUUUUCAGAAGAAAGGGCAGAAUGAUUGUAAGAGCCAGAAGGUGGGAGGGAAUAUCCAGAGGCACUUCCCCCGUACAGUGACCGUUGCUGUCACAACUCAACCCACAACGCCACAGUGAAUACCAGCAAUCCAACCAAGGAGGGCUCUCAGUGGAGUGGAGACAGGGAAGAGGGAAAUCGUACCAAUGCAUGAA